AGAUUGAACGCUGGCGGCAUGCCUUACACAUGCAAGUCGAACGGCAGCACGGACUUCGGUCUGGUGGCGAGUGGCGAACGGGUGAGUAAUAUAUCGGAACGUACCCUGGAGUGGGGGAUAACGCAGCGAAAGUUGCGCUAAUACCGCAUACGAUCUACGGAUGAAAGUGGGGGAUUCGCAAGAACCUCAUGCUCGUGGAGCGGCCGAUAUCUGAUUAGCUAGUUGGUAGGGUAAAAGCCUACCAAGGCAUCGAUCAGUAGCUGGUCUGAGAGGACGACCAGCCACACUGGGACUGAGACACGGCCCAGACUCCUACGGGAGGCAGCAGUGGGGAAUUUUUGGACAAUGGGGGCAACCCUGAUCCAGCCAUGCCGCGUGCGGGAAGAAGGCCUCGGUGUAACCGACUUUGGUCGGAGAAAGGACGAGGCUUGAAUACGGACCUGUCUUUGACGGUACCGGCACGAAGUAAGACACCGGCUAACUACGUGCCAGCAGCCGA
rnacentral:rRNA from 1 species